rnacentral:misc_RNA from 1 species
UCCUGGUUUCCCAGGCAGUCCCGCUAGAGUGCCUUCUUUCGAAGUAGCAACUAACAGUAGGAGUUGCGCUCGUUAUAGGACUUAACCCAACAUCUCACGACACGAGCUGACGACAGCCAUGCAGCACCUGUGUAAUCGUCCAAGCCGAAGCCUGGAAAGUUGUAUUUCUACAACGGUCGAAAACAUGUCAAGCCCAGGUAAGGUUCCUCGCGUAGUGUCGAAUUAAACCACAUGUUCCACCGCUUGUGCGGACCCCCGUCAAUUCCUUUGAGUUUUAGUCUUGCGACCGUAAUCCCCAGGCGGAUCACUUAACGCGUUAGCUACGACACUGAUUUCGCAAAGCAAAACCAACGUCUAGUGAUCAUCGUUUACAGCGUGGACUAC